ACAACGAGGUCCAUAGUCAUACAUGGGAAACAGCUACUAUAAAAGAUGGGUGAGAAUAAAGAAUCUUUGGAUACGUUCUGCACAACAAUGAUGGAGCAUCGGUAUGUGACCAACAGAGGCUACUGAGCUGACUCGAGCAACUAAAAAACGGUAAAAUUUCCUCAGACUGCUAUGAACUGCUAUGAGGGGAUGUGACAGGAAUCUAUGCAGGACAACACUGGUAUCAGGAGAUCUGGCCCAGCCUCUUUAUGAAGGAAGGAAGAAGAAUGUAAUAGAAACAAAUGCAAUUAAGGGGCAGGGCCAACAUGUGGAUGCAAGGGAGAGGCCACAGGGGCCCACAGGACCACUGCUGUAGGCUCACUGCCACCUGUCACUGAAGCCACCUGGAGGCUCCAGCUGCACCAGUGCUGCAGCCAGAAUGGGAUCUGGAGGCUCAGAGCUGGAGGGCCCUGGAGUGGCGUGCCCAGAGUGACCCAGGAGAGGCUGUCCUCAUGUCCCCCCAUACCUGACCUCCUGCUCUGGCCCCGCACAGCCCCUGUGUCCCACCCACCACCCCGCAGCAGACCCCUGGUAGCAUCCUGGAGCAGGUCCUGCAGUGUCUGCUGGCCACAGGCAUUCUUGGGGUUCAUCACAGCCCCUGGACCCACGGGGGAACUGUCUGUAGCUGGGAUACUGGCUGCCUGCUGUUGGGCUUUUCUCCCUGGGUGGCCCCACCCCUCACCCCUUGCAGGUGGAAUUGGAGAUGGGGUCAGACACCUGAUGUGUCUUUUAAGUUUGUGGA